rnacentral:rRNA from 1 species
GACGUAGGAGGCGAGCGUUGUCCGGAUUCAUUGGGCGUAAAGAGCACGCAGGCGGUUUGGCAAGUCGGAUGUGAAAACCCGAAGCUCAACCGCGGGCCUGCAGCCGAUACGGGCAGGCUAGAGUUCGGUAGGGGAGACUGGAAUUCCUGGUGUAGCGGUGAAAUGCGCAGAUAUCAGGAGGAACACCGAUGGCGAAGGCAGGUCUCUGGGCCGAUACUGACGCUGAGGAGCGAAAGCGUGGGGAGCGAACAGG